rnacentral:ncRNA from 1 species
GAGUGUUGGGUGGAGAUGCACAGUCAUCGGAAUGCGUAGCAAAGGCUUUCACAGACGCUUCAUUCCGUCCGCUACCGAUGGCUGAUUCCUCCUCCCAAGGGUUUUUUGUACGAAAGGCCAGCCCAAACGAAGGUUAGGCAAGGCGAAAGCCGGCGAGUAGGCGCAACGGCUUGUAACGAGCAGUCCAGGCCGGUUUCUACGCGCAUUUCCGGUGCGCAGGCGCUUUCGUGCAUUACCCCAGUAGUGCUUCUGUUCCGACAGCAAGCAGGAGAUGUCGUCGCGACGCCGGCCGAACUGGCCUCACAUCGCUGGACACUGGAGUGCCUUACAACCAUUCCUGACUCACCUGACACCGACUGCGAGAGUCGUGUGUGCCGAACGCCGUUUCCCGAUGCCAUGGAAACCGA